rnacentral:hammerhead_ribozyme from 1 species
GCAUUGUUGAGGAGUCCCAUACUAGGACGAGACGGCCGUCCAGUGC